GCGGGGCGAGGCGAAGGGAGUAAGAGAAGUGACAGAGAGAAAGAUGUCGGGGAUGGGAGAUGGGUACGUGGGCACCGCCCAAGAUGCCGUGCGGAUUCGAAGGCUGGAGAAGCAGAGGGAGGCCGAGCGCCGAAAGCUCGAGGAGAAGAAGAAGAACGCUUCCGCCGGCGGCCAAUCCGGCCUUCUCCAAUUUGGCUCCGGAACCUCAGAGAUUCUCGACACGGCAUUUAAGAAGGAGACAAUUGGUUUAGUGACUAGAGAACAAUAUGUUGAGAAGAGGGUCAAUAUACGAAACAAAAUUGAGGAGGAAGAAAAGGAGAAGCUUCAAAAGUUGAAGGAAGAGGAGGAAGAGCUACAGAUGCAAAAAAGGAAAAAGAGGAGGGUAAAGGUUGAUUCACGCUUAUCCUUUGUUGAUGAAAUAGAGAAUGAGAGUGAUGAGGAAAACAUGGAAAAGAGUUGAGUUCAUUCUUUUCUCCGGUACUCAUUGUACAUAUAUUGGUGUUAGCAACCAUUUUCUUCCUAAACUCUGAACUAUACAAUUAGUUCUUCCUGAACAACCAUUUCAUUUGAUAGAUUUUCAAAGUUAAACAUAGUGAGGUUGAUUUUUCUUCUUUGGUUCAUUCUAGUCCAUUAAAUUGCUCUCUUUUGUGGAUAUUGUUAGUGAUAUGGCCUUGCAUUGAAUUCAAUUCAGUUAGCUAAUCCAUAUUGCUGAUCCCAAAAAAUUAGGACUAACACAGCUUGUUGCUGAUGUUGACGACGCUACAAAUUGAAUCAUCAUAUCAUAGGGCACUCUUUGUUUGUAUCAUGCAAUAUAAAUUAUAUAAGAGGAACAUUGAUUGUCCAUAUCUCUUUGAUCAACAUAAAUUGGAGGAUGACAUAUUUCAUCAUAUGGGCAAUCAAUGUUGAUCAAAGAGAUAUGGAAGUUAGCUUCCAGUUUAGAAAUGAAAUCCUUCUGUUGAUUGGUAUGCCUGCAACAUUUUGUAAAAAUAUGGCCUCCUUGAAUUAGGCCUAUUCAUAAUUACUUUUAAUCUGCUUUUUUUUUUUGCAGAUCUACAUGGCUUUUCCUUCGUCAUGUUAACUGUGUGCACACUGAUGAAGUUUUUGACAAAAUAAUUAGAUGCAAUUUAACCUUUUCACCUCCACGAAAUGCUGUUGCUUUCAUGCAUUUUCUCAAAUUAUUUGUUUUCAGCCAAAGCUAAAAUGAGUUGAUACUACUGUAUUGUCAAAGCAUAACUGAACUUUGUGUUGAAAAGACUUCUUGUGACAUGUAAAACAAGUUAUAUCUAUAGAAUGUUUCUUUAGUUCUUGUCUAUCAGGUUUAAGUGACAUCAUCUUUACAAUUGACAGAACAAAACAAGCAUGGCAAAGAUCCAACUGUGGAAACAAGCUUUCUGCCUGAUAGAAUGAUCUCUUAGGGAGAGAGAAGCAGAGGAACAAGCAGAACGGGAAAUAUUACGGCGGCAGUGGCUACGUGAGCAAGAAUUGAUUAAAAAUGAACCUCUUCAAAUUACAUAUAGUUACUGGGAUGGAGCUGGUCACAGACGGGUUAUUCAAGUUAGAAAAGGUGACAGCAUCGGAGAAUUUCUGCGAGCUGUACAGCAGCAACUUGCUCCUGAAUUUCGAGAGAUUCGGACAACAUCAGUCGAGAACCUUCUUUAUGUUAAAGAAGAUUUAAUUAUCCCUCAUCAACAUAGUUUUUAUGAGCUGAUUAUCAACAAAGCAAGGGGCAAAAGUGGACCGCUUUUCCACUUUGAUGUCCAUGAGGAUGUUCGAACCAUUGCUGAUGCGACGAUUGAGAAAGAUGAGUCUCAUGCUGGUAAGGUUGUUGAAAGACAUUGGUAUGAGAAGAAUAAACACAUUUUUCCUGCAUCUAGAUGGGAGAUAUAUGAUCCUACUAAAAAAUGGGAGAGGUAUACCAUCCAUGGAGACUAGCAAAAAAGUUGAGUUUUCAACUGUGUUGCUCAUAGUGUUCCUAGACUGUGAGAACUUAAUUAGCAAUCUCUAAUAGGAAGGAAAAUCUUCUGAGUGCAAAGUUUGAUUUCACUAUGUAAUGUUUGCCGUUUUGUUCACAGGCCUAGGCCAUAUCUGAAAACUCUAGUAUUUAAACAUCGUACACCUGCAUAACAGUGAUGCUAUUUGAGUUAGAUUUUUUUAGAUUUAA